ensembl:lncRNA
CAACUUUCACAGGAAUGAACAUGGCCCUCCCUCCAAUGCUCUGUCAAACUUUUUUUUAAGUCUAUGGCCAAAGCCCAUUUAGUAGCUUUCUCACAAUUACAGCACACCAUCACAGUGCAACAAUGCUGUAACAUAUCAAACAGCAAUUGCGACAAAGAGGCAAGAUAUGAUGUUUGUUUCUUUUAAUUGCAGAAACAUCAGUCUGAAUAAAAUAAACAUACCAUGAAUUCAGCAUGACAACAUAACCUGUAGAUGGUGCACAUUGUCCGUGUAACAGGGUAUAUUUGGUGCCUUAUGAUUUUAAUUCAAAUGUGUCACAGGAACGAAAGAGGUACCAACUUACCAACCCGGCUUUAAACCUUUUCUUGAUCUGAAUAUUAAUGUCAGAUAUAAAUGGGGAGAACAUUACAAGAGUAAAAAGUUUGCCAACAAGCUCGAGUCCUGUGGCUUGAAGAAUGAUUUCCUUUUUGUCGUCUCGGGUUCUCUUUUUUUGUUGAAUUUUGACCCAAACCUUCAAAGGCAAAAAUAAAUUCAGGUUAUUCUAUUUACCUGAUUGAUUUAAUAUGACCAAUUACAGUUACAGCAUGUUGUGUUGUGUUUGUCUAUACAGAGGUUAGUGGAAAACACACAAACAGCCUCUUGUAACCUCUCCUUCCAUCUCCACCCCUGUGUUCCUUUAAUGAGGUUCUGCUGAAGUGGAUCCCACCAGAGACCAGCGACAGUAUUAAGGAUGAGAUGUCAUCUUCACAACAGUAUUCAUUUUACCUGACAGAUCAAUGUUGCAGGUGGCGGCACGGAUCUCUCCCUGUCUGUCUAACAUCUCUCAGUGGAUGUCUGCUCACCAUCUGAAAAUCAACCCCAACAAGACUGGACUACUUCUCUUUCCGGGAAAAGAUUCUCCGACCCAGGACUUGACUGUCAACUUUGGCAACUCCGUGCUAACGCCUACUUUGACUGCUAGGAACCUCGGCAUGAC